rnacentral:rRNA from 1 species
CUUUACUGACGCUAAAGCUCGAAGGUGCGGGUAUCGAACAGGAUUAGAUACCCUGGUAGUCCGCACGGUAAACGAUGGAUGCCCGCUGUUUGCGAUACACUGUGAGCGGCCAAGCGAAAGCGUUAAGCAUCCCACCUGGGGAGUACGCCGGCAACGGUGAAACUCAAAGGAAUUGACGGGGGCCCGCACAAGCGGAGGAACAUGUGGUUUAAUUCGAUGAUACGCGAGGAACCUUACCCGGGCUUGAACUGCCGGCGUACGAUACAGAGAUGUUGAGGCCCUUCGGGGCGCCGGUGGAGGUGCUGCAUGGUUGUCGUCAGCUCGUGCCGUGAGGUGUCGGCUUAAGUGCCAUAACGAGCGCAACCCCUCUCCGUAGUUGCCAUCGGGUGAUGCCGGGCACUCUGCGGACACUGCCACCGUAAGGUGUGAGGAAGGUGGGGAUGACGUCAAAUCAGCACGGCCCUUACGUCCGGGGCUACACACGUGUUACAAUGGGUGGUACAGAGGGCAGGCGGCCGGCGACGUCCGUCGAAUCCUAAAAGCCAUCCUCAGUUCGGACUGGGGUCUGCAACCCGACCCCACGAAGCUGGAUUCGCUAGU